GGGCCCGCACAAGCGGUGGAGCAUGUGGUUUAAUUCGAAGCAACGCGAAGAACCUUACCAAGGCUUGACAUCCCUCUGACGCGCCUAGAAAUAGGUGGUUAUCCUUCGGGGUACAGAGGAGACAGGUGGUGCAUGGUUGUCGUCAGCUCGUGUCGUGAGAUGUUGGGUUAAGUCCCGCAACGAGCGCAACCCUUAUGUUCAGUAGCCAACAGGAAAGCUGGGCACACUGGAGAGACUGCCGUGGAUAACACGGAGGAAGGUGGGGAUGACGUCAAAUCAUCAUGCCCCUUAUGCCUUGGGCAACACACGUGCUACAAUGGCUCGAACAGAGUGAUGCGAGGCAGUGAUGCGGAGCAAAACACAGAAAACGAGUACUCAGUUCGGAUUGAAGUCUGCAACCCGACUUCAUGAAGUUGGAAUCGCUAGUAAUCGCGGAUCAGCAUGCCG
rnacentral:rRNA from 1 species